GGGCGAUUAGCUCAGGUGGUUAGAGUGCUACGUUGACAUCGUAGAGGUCAUUGGUUCAAGUCCAAUAUCGCCCACCA
rnacentral:tRNA from 1 species